AGCUAUAUGCAAAAUAAGCUAUGGGUAACAUAAGCUAUAGGCAUCAAAAUCUAUAGGCAACGUAAGCUACGGUCAGCAUAAGCUUUAGGCUUGAUUUGGGUUUCGCUUCAAAACAAAUAUUUUCAAUCAAUAGAAAAAAGUAACUGAUUGGACGCGUUAUCUUCCCGUUGAUGAAAUAUUAUAAUACAUUUGAACUUCAUUGAAGGAAAGAACAGCGCUAAAAUAUGCACUUGCACAACACUAUACAUGUCUUUGAAAAAAACUCAUUGAUGUCUUCCCGGAAAUGAUAAUAAACUGUUUUUAAAACAAAAAUGUUAAACUGUGUAUUGAAGUGAGACAAAAGCAGUAACUCUUGUGCCUCACUGAAAGGGUUAAUUAGAGAUGCGCAUUUACAAAACAAUUUGCUAGUUUGAACUGUGGUAAUGCCGAUCUCUUAAUGGUAGCAGUUCUACAAUUCUUGAAGUAUGUUGUAAGUG